rnacentral:lncRNA from 1 species
CGCCGCGCUCCCCGCUAGGGCUCCACCACUCUGGCCGCGGGAAUUUCCGGCCUCGCCGCGCGGCGCAGCGCCCCGCUCCGGUGGCGGAGGGAACCGCUUCGUCCAGAGCGGGGUUCGAGGGGCCGGCCCGGGCUGCCGGGAGGGAGAGAAGACACGGCACGGGACUUCGUACCGCGCGGGGGACGGGGAAGUAAGCACUGGAGUAUAAAGGUGCUGGAUGUUGGGAGACAUGGGAUCCAGCCUCUACCAUGGAUCUGGUGGGCCUUCUCUGGGCCUUGGUGCCUGCCUGCAGAAUAAGUCCAGCCUUGGCCCAAGACGUGAUCUAAUUCUCAUGCUGCUGUGGGCAGAGCACAUGGCAUCAGAAUGCUGGGAGCUGCUGUCUGUCGCCAUGGGAGGGAAUUCCCCAGCUCAGGAAAACUCUUCCAGCGGAAGGGAGCAGGUGGCGAGCCUCCCUGAAGAGACAGACGCUGCCAACGCUGCAGGCAGAGCCAAUCGUGUGAUGGCUAACAGAUUUUUCCAGUAA